UAAAUACUGACUGAAUUUUUAUUUUUUGGAUGAUCUAUGUUUUUAAGAGUAGAAAAUGCUUCUUAAAGGGACAGUUCAACAAAAAAUGAAAAUUCUGUCAUCAUUUACUCACCCUUAACUGAAAGGAGGCUUUUUGAAGUCUAUCAUGGCCUCUCUUUUCCAUAUAGUCGCAAUGAAUGCGAGUGAAAAGUGAGCAGACAGAUGACAGAAUUUUCAUUUUUGGUUGAACUGUUUCUUUAAGGCAAUAACUGCAUGUUUUUAGGAGUUAAACAGCCUGGAAAAAUAAUAGUUUCAAAUAACAGUGAGAGAGAGUGAUGUGGGUUAUUAAAAAGAGAUCUCUACUUCAUUUGUUUCUAUGAUGGCUAUCUCUUGUCAGAGCGUUAAGACCUUCUGGUGCAGUAAAAAGACUAAAGCAUGAGAGAAAAUGGGAAGAAUGACUGGAUGUCCUUGACAAAGCUCUGAGCAUUUGAGAUGUGUGGCAAACAGGCUUCCAUAUCGACUGAUCGUCCCAGUUGUCAUCGUAAAACAUUAAACACUCGGAGUGGAAAGAAGACUGCGGGAGGGGCAGCGGAAACACGGGGAGGUGAAAUGGAGGACAGGGAAACCAGACAAGGUGACUAUCUGUGCCAGUCUCUUUCAGACUGCUGACUACAUCACACUCCCUCUCUCUUCUCCAUCAUGGUUUAUUCAUUCCUCACCCCGGGGCUGGAAAACCUUCUGCUAACAGCCGUGUCAAGAAGUAGCCUAAAUAUGCUUAGUGGCAAAAGUUAUCUCUAUGUUAUGUUAUGUUAAUUGAACCAAAGAAGCGAGAUGGCUGUAGUUAAAUGUUCAGUUAGAUUUGCUUGUGUACAAAUCUACUACAUCAUGCAAAAUAAUUUGAUUUUUUAGCUGCUGAUCUGCUAUUGUAAAAGACAACAAAUACAUUAAAUAAAGAGUUUUAAUAAUGUGUUUGUAAUCGUAUACAGGGAUCCAGUACUUUGUUUAUUUCGUUAGUAUCUUCUUCAGGCAGCUGGCGCUCCGUGUCUCAUUCAGACCAACCAGAUCUCAUGGAAAAAAACGUAACUAUUUCAUGAGGUGGCAUUUUUGUAUGAUUUCAUAUAAGGUAAAUCAUUUGAAAAAUAAUUUGAAAAAAACUAAUUUAAUGGUGGGUGUUCAUGCUUUCUUUUUUCAAGGUGGCAAAUUUGUAUGAAUUUGUACAAUGUGAAAUUACCACCUCAAAAAAUAGUUACACUUUUCUGUGAGAUUGAGUUUCCUAAACAUAACCGUCACUGUACGAAAAUGUGUACAAAUUACAUUGUAUGAUUUCAUAGAAAUUAGUUUAACAACAACAACAAACACUUGUAGAGACCAGAAUUGCUUUCUAGAAGUGGGCUUCUAACUAUGCAGCAAUGCGCUAGAUAGCAUGGAUGUAGCAACACCCUAACUACCACUCAGAACACCUUAGCAACCACAAAGCAAAGCCAUGGCAAACCCACAGAUAAAAAAUGUGUUACAAUCAUUUUGCUGGUGAAACAACUGUUUUAGUCUGAAUGUUGUCAUCUCAUGUAAACUCAUAACAUUUUCCAGACUGAUAUUGGUGCGAGCGCUGGGGAUGUUGGUUUGAUGGCCAACAACCAUGAAAGCACCUCAGCGUGCAGCAGCACUGAAGGAUUUCAUUGUACUCGCUUUUGAUAAAUGUGAGGGGGAGUGAAGCCAGGAACAAUUCCAGCAGUGUUAUCAGGAGCAAACAGGCAGAGUCAUGGGGCCCCAUCUGCAGGAACGAGAUCGCAGCCAUGUUGCUCACUUUCCUGCGCGAGCGUGGACAGGCCGUGACUCAUUCAGCUGGCAGAGGGAAGCCGAUUCUCCAGAGCAUCUCCUAGACUGCCAACUUAUUUAUUGAUAAAGACAAGUGACCCUGUUUAAACAGGCAGCAUCAUCUUUCCUUAUUUUCACUCCACAAAUAUAACCCAUGUUUAUGUCCAUUUAUAUAUAAAUAUAUAUUUUACAUGUAUAGAUAUUAAUAUAUAUGUAUAAUAUUUUAGAAUAUGGAUGUAUAUUUAUCAAUAUAAUGUAAUUGUUAAAAUAUAUGGGGGAAAUUCAGGUUAAUUGGGAUAUUCAGUCAUCAUCUCAAUAGCAAAAAGUAUCCUAAUUUACCUGAAUUCACCCUAAUAAUAACAAUACAUAAUGUAGAAUAUAUGUGUGUGUGUGUGUGUG
ensembl:lncRNA